GCAUCCCCAGAGACAUCAGCUUCCCCAGAUGGGUCACAAAAUCUGGUUUAUGAGACAGAACUUCUCAGGACCCAGCUCAAUGACAGCUUAAAGGAAAUUCACCAAAAGGAGUUAAGAAUUCAGCAACUGAACAGCAACUUCUCUCAGCUACUGGAAGAGAAAAACACCCUUUCCAUUCAGCUCUGCGAUACCAGUCAGAGUCUUCGUGAGAACCAGCAGCACUAUGGUGACCUUUUAAAUCACUGUGCAGUCUUGGAGAAGCAGGUUCAAGAGCUGCAGGCGUGGAGACAGGGUUUCACCAUCUUGGCCAGGCUGGUCUUGAACUCCUGAUCUUGUGAUCCACCCACCUCGGCCUCCCAAAGUGCUGGGAUUACAGGCUUGAGCCACGGCGCCCGGCCCAGACUUAACUUUUAAGAGGAGAAAUUCAAGAAUGAGAAUCUGGGAGAAAAAUCUAAUCAAGACAAGAGUUUUAUGUAGGGGCCACUAAAUAUAGAUGUUGCUCCAGGAGCUCCCCAGGAAAAGAAUGGAGUUCACAGAAAGAGUGACCCUGAGGAACUAAGGGAACCGCAGCAAAGCUUUUCUGAAGCUCAGCAGCAGCUAUGCAACACCAGACAGGAAGUGAAUGAAUUAAGGAAGCUGCUGGAAGAAGAACGAGACCAAAGAGUGGCUGCUGAGAAUGCUCUCUCUGUGGCCGAGGAGCAGAUCAGACGGUUAGAGCACAGUGAAUGGGACUCUUCCCGGACUCCUAUCAUUGGCUCCUGUGGCACUCAGGAGCAGGCACUGUUAAUAGAUCUUACAAGCAACAGUUGUCGAAGGACCCGGAGUGGCGUUGGAUGGAAGCGAGUCCUGCGUUCACUCUGUCAUUCACGGACCCGAGUGCCACUUCUAGCAGCCAUCUACU
rnacentral:lncRNA from 1 species